rnacentral:rRNA from 1 species
CCUCUCGACUUAUAUGAGAGGUCCAGCCUGCCCAGUGACUAAAUUCAACGGCCGCGGUAUCCUAACCGUGCGAAGGUAGCGUAAUCACUUGUUCUUUAAAUGAGGACUAGUAUGAAUGGCACCACGAGGGUUACACUGUCUCCUUUUUUUAAUCAAUGAAACUGAUCUCCCCGUGAAGAAGCGGGGAUAUUUAUAUAAGACGAGAAGACCCUAUGGAGCUUUAAACAUCUAUAGCACUGGUCCACACUUCAUACCCUUCUGAAGUUUAAUCAUUAUAUAGACCAGCAUAACUAUUAGUUUUAGGUUGGGGUGACCGCGGAGCAAAAAUUAACCUCCACGUUGAACGGAAUUUAUCCUGAGCUAAAAGCUACGACUUUAAGCACCAACAAACUGACAUCAAUUGACCCAACAUGUUGAUCAACGAACCAAGUUACCCUAGGGAUAACAGCGCAAUCCAUUUCAAGAGCCCCUAUCGACAAAUGGGUUUACGACCUCGAUGUUGGAUCAGGGUAUCCCAGUGGUGCAGCCGCUACUAAAGGUUCGUUUGUUCAACGAUGAAAACCCU